AUUGAACGCUGGCGGCAUGCCUUACACAUGCGAGUCGAACGGUAACAGGUCUUCGGAUGCUGACGAGUGGCGAACGGGUGAGUAAUACAUCGGAACGUGCCCGAUCGUGGGGGAUAACGAGGCGAAAGCUUUGCUAAUACCGCAUACGAUCUACGGAUGAAAGCGGGGGAUCUUCGGACCUCGCGCGGACGGAGCGGCCGAUGGCAGAUUAGGUAGUUGGUGGGAUAAAAGCUUACCAAGCCGACGAUCUGUAGCUGGUCUGAGAGGAUGAUCAGCCACACUGGAACUGAGACACGGCCCAGACUCCUACGGGAGGCAGCAGUGGGGAAUUUUGGACAAUGGGCGAAAGCCUGAUCCAGCCAUGCCGCGUGCAGGAUGAAGGCCUUCGGGUUGUAAACUGCUUUUGUACGGAACGAAAAGCCUCUUUCUAAUAAAGAGGGGUCAUGACGGUACCGUAAGAAUAAGCACCGGCUAACUACGUG
rnacentral:rRNA from 1 species